rnacentral:rRNA from 1 species
GACGAACGCUGGCGGCGUGCUUAACACAUGCAAGUCGAACGGAAAGGCCCUGCUUUUGUGGGGUGCUCGAGUGGCGAACGGGUGAGUAACACGUGAGUAACCUGCCCUUGACUUUGGGAUAACUUCAGGAAACUGGGGCUAAUACCGGCUAGGAGCUCCUGCUGCAUGGUGGGGGUGGGAAAGUUUCGGCGGUUGGGGGUGGACUCGCGGCUUAUCAGCUUGUUGGUGGGGUAGUGGCUUACCAAGGCUUUGACGGGUAGCCGGCCUGAGAGGGGGACCGGCCACGUUGGACUUGGAAUACGGCACAGACUCCUACGGGAGGCAGCAGUGGGGAAUAUUGCACAAUGGGAGGAAGCCUGAUGCAGCAACGCCGCGUGCGGGAUGACGGCCUUCGGGUUGUAAACCGCUUUCGCCUGUGCCGAAGUGUGAGUGACGGUAAUGGGUAAAGAAGCACCGGCUAACUACGUG